AUGACCAACAUACCGUUUGAGCUGUACAAGACCCAGACAACUGUUGCAGUUUCCAGGGAGGAGUUCCUGGAUGUCGUGUGUGAUGCACUCACCCUGUACAAGUAUGUCGGGCCCAAUCAGAGGGCCGGCUUGCUUCUUGCCUGCAGGAUAAAGGAGAGGAAAGAAUCAGUAACAGUACUGUUGUGUGGCACAAGUGGAUGCGGCAAGUCCGCUCUAUCAUCUUUGUUGGGUAACAGGUUGGGUAUCACCACCAUAGUUUCUACUGACUCUAUACGGCACAUGAUGAGGAGUUUCGUUGAAGAAAAAGAAAACCCUCUGCUCUACGCAUCAACCUACCACGCAGGAGAUUAUCUAGACCCUGUUCCGGUUGCGCAAGCAAAGGCAAGACACAAGGCAAAGAAACUCUCUGUUAUUUCUCAUUCAGAUGCUGACGGAGGCAAAGAUGGCGGUACUUCAGAUCAGAAGUGUAACGGUACAUCCGAAGUUCCCAGUAAAAAGCAGAUGGCCAUAGAAGGGUACAAAGCGUAGAGUGAGAUGAUCAUUGGCAGCCUCGACAGAUUUAUUACGACCUGGGAGGAGCGGAAAGAAUCUUUGAUUGUAGAAGGGGUUCAUUUAAGCCUGAAUUUUGUGAUGGGGCUGAUGAAGAAACAUCCCUCAGUGAUACCAUUUAUGGUAUACAUCAUGAACAAGGAGAAGCACAUGGAACGGUUUGCGGUCCGCGCAAAGUACAUGACGCUUGACCCGGCGAAGAACAGAUACGUUAAAUACAUCCAGAACAUCAGAGCGAUCCAGGAGUACCUGUGCAACCGGGCCGACAAGCAUCAAGUGCCAAAAAUCAACAAAACCGAUGUAGACUGGAACAUGGCGGCCAUACACGCCAGGUUUUCAUGCCUUCGCCGGCGUGAGGCCGGGGAGCAGUUUUAUGACUCGCAUACAAACACUGCAGUUAUGGUGGAUGAGGAGUAUAGGAGCCAGUGCGCCGCAAACUCGUUGAGUUCCAAGGGCAUGUUUCAGUUGAUUCAGAGGCAAGGGUCCUCUAGAAAUCUGAUGGCUCUGCUUAACACUGAUGGUUCAGUUGCUAAGGCAUGGCCCAUGCAUGCCGGCGACAGCAGUGGAAACAUGAAUGAUGGCACAGGCAGUGAGAAAUCUGUUGGAAAUCCUAUGUAUGGCCCUUUGCAAAUAGGGAAGGCAGAGCCUGUCAAUCUUCAGUUUGGCCCGUUUGGGAUUGGUGCGUGGCCAAGUGAUACCGGAUGCGCCAGUCAUGCUGGGAGUGUCGAUGACUCCAAGGCUGAUGGCACAGAUACAGGGAGCGGGUAUUUAUCCUCGUGUUGCAGCUCACCGAAGAUGUCAGAUGACAAUUCCAAUGAGCUUGUGGAUGAGUAUUCAGUGUCUGACAGUGAAGAAGAAGAGUGUGAUGGUGAUGCUGAUGCAGAGACUAAUGAGGAUCUAACUGACGAAGAAAAGGACAUCCAAGAGGUAGUGUAA
rnacentral:rRNA from 1 species